rnacentral:ribozyme from 1 species
UGCCCAGCAACUCCUAUCCCUACCUCCUCGCGGUACCGGCCGGGUACGAGUAACCUCUGGGAAGAUCGGGUAACCAACCCCGAUGGGAACUCUGGUCGUAUACUGACAGAGAAGG